rnacentral:rRNA from 1 species
GAUCAUGGCUCAGGACGAACGCUGGCGGCGUGCUUAACACAUGCAAGUCGAACGAGAAUCUACUGAAAGAGUUUUCGGACAAUGGAUGUAGAGGAAAGUGGCGGACGGGNGAGUAACGCGUGAGGAACCUGCCUUGAAGAGGGGGGACAACAGUUGGAAACGACUGCUAAUACCGCAUGAAGCAUAGGGGUCGCAUGAUCUUUAUGCCAAAGAUUUAUCGCUUCAAGAUGGCCUCGCG